rnacentral:rRNA from 1 species
UACGUAGGGUGCGAGCGUUAAUCGGAAUUACUGGGCGUAAAGCGUGCGCAGGCGGUUAUGUAAGACAGGUGUGAAAUCCCCGGGCUUAACCUGGGAACUGCAUUUGUGACUGCAUAGCUAGAGUACGGUAGAGGGGGAUGGAAUUCCGCGUGUAGCAGUGAAUGCGUAGAUAUGACGGAGGAACACCGAUGGCGAAGGCAAUCCCCUGGACCUGUACUGACGCUCAUGCACGAAAGCGUGGGGAGCAAACAGG